rnacentral:rRNA from 1 species
GCCUUCGGGAGGCAGCAGUGGGGAAUAUUGCACAAUGGGCGCAAGCCUGAUGCAGCCAUGCCGCGUGUAUGAAGAAGGCCUUCGGGUUGUAAAGUACUUUCAGCGAGGAGGAAGGGGUUGUAGUUAAUAACCGCAGCCAUUGACGUUACUCGCAGAAGAAGCACCGGCUAACUCCGUGCCAGCAGCCGCGGUAAUACGGAGGGUGCUAGCGUUAAUCGGAAUUACUGGGCGUAAAGCGCACGCCGGCGGUCGGUCAAGUAGGAUGUGAAAUCCCCGGGCUCAACCUGGGAAAAGCAUCCGAAACUGGCGGGCUAGAGUCUUGUAGAGGGGGGUAGAAUUCCAGGUGUAGCGGUGAAAUGCGUAGAGAUCUGGAGGAAUACCGGUGGCGAAGGCGGCCCCCUGGACAAAGACUGACGCUCAGGUGCGAAAGCGUGGGGAGCAAACAGGAUUAGAUACCCUGGUAGUCCACGCCGUAAACGAUGUCGACUUGGAGGUUGUGCCCAUGAGGCGUGGCUUCCGGAGCUAACG